rnacentral:rRNA from 1 species
UACGUAGGGUGCAAGCGUUAAUCGGAAUUACUGGGCGUAAAGCGUGCGCAGGCGGUUGUGCAAGACAGAUGUGAAAUCCCCGGGCUCAACCUGGGAAUUGCAUUUGUGACUGCACGGCUAGAGUGUGUCAGAGGGGGGUAGAAUUCCACGUGUAGCAGUGAAAUGCGUAGAGAUGUGGAGGAAUACCGAUGGCGAAGGCAGCCCCCCUGGGAUAACACUGACGCUCAUGCACGAAAGCGUGGGGAGCAAACAGG